UACGUAGGGGGCAAGCGUUGUCCGGAAUCAUUGGGCGUAAAGCGCGUGUAGGCGGUUCGGUAAGUCGGCUGUGAAAGUCCAGGGCUCAACCCUGGGAUGCCGGUCGAUACUGCCGGACUAGAGUUCGGAAGAGGCGAGUGGAAUUCCCGGUGUAGCGGUGAAAUGCGCAGAUAUCGGGAGGAACACCAAUGGCGAAGGCAGCUCGCUGGGACGUUACUGACGCUGAGACACGAAAGCGUGGGGAGCAAACAGG
rnacentral:rRNA from 1 species